AUGGAGUCUGUGCUCUGCUGGGUUUUCCUUGCCGCUAUUUUAAAAGGUGUCCAGGGGGAGGUGCAGCUGGUGGAGUCUGGGGGACACCUGGUGAAGCCUGGGGGAUCCCUGAGACUCUCUUGUGUGGCCUCUGGAUUCACCUUCAGUAGCUACUACAUGGAAUGGGUCCGCCAGGCUCCAGGGAAGGGGCUGCAGUGGGUCGCACAGAUUAGCAGUGAUGGAAGUAGCACAUACUACCCAGACGCUGUGAAGGGUCAAUUCACCAUCUCCAGAGACAAUGCCAAGAACACGCUGUAUCUGCAGAUGAACAGCCUGGGAGGCGAGGACUCGGCCGUGUAUUACUGUGAGAAGGACACAGUGAGGUGA